UACGUAGGGGGCAAGCGUUUGUCCGGAUUUAUUGGGCGUAAAGAGCUCGUAGGUGGUUCGGUAAGUCGGAUGUGAAAUCUCCAGGCUCGACCUGGAGGGGUCAUUCGAUACUGCCGUGACUAGAGUUCGGUAGGGGGAGUGUGGAAUUCCUGGUGGAGCGGUGAAAUGCGCAGAUAUCAGGAGGAACACCCGGUGGCGAAGGCGGG
rnacentral:rRNA from 1 species